rnacentral:rRNA from 1 species
GAUCCUGGCUCAGGAUGAACGCUGGCGGCGUGCUUAACACAUGCAAGUCGAACGGAACUAUCUGGAUAGAGGAUUCGUCCAAUUGAAGGGUAUGUUUAGUGGCGGACGGGUGAGUAACGCGUGAGUAACCUGCCUUGGAGUGGGGAAUAACAGUCCGAAAGGAUUGCUAAUACCGCAUGAUGCAGUUGGGUCGCAUGGCCCUGACUGCCAAAGAUUUAUCGCUCUGAGAUGGACUCGCGUCUGAUUAGCUAGUUGGCGGGGUAAUGGCCCACCAAGGCGACGAUCAGUAGCCGGACUGAGAGGUUGACCGGCCACAUUGGGACUGAGAUACGGCCCAGACUCCUACGGGAGGCAGCAGUGGGGAAUAUUGGGCAAUGGGCGAAAGCCUGACCCAGCAACGCCGCGUGAAGGAAGAAGGCUUUCGGGUUGUAAACUUCUUUUAUGAGGGACGAAGAAAGUGACGGUACCUCAUGAAUAAGCCACGGCUAACUACGUGCCAGCCGCUGC